AAAAGUUAGGAUUAAAAAACUACGUUUAACUGUUGGUCCAGAUAAUUUAAUAAUCUGUCAAAAAUAUUAGACUCUAAGGUCAAAGGUCAAAAGAAAGAAAAUCAUGGACGUCAGGUCAUAACCUAGCUUGGUCUCUUUUAGCUACGUUAGCUUAAAAUAAAUACAGAGAAAAUCAGAGUCGUCAGUCGUGAGGAAUUUAGUCUUUUAGUAUUUACAAUACUUUACAAUACUUCACAAUACUAGACAAUACUAGAUAAUACCAGUUAAUACUGCACUUUACUAAUGUAAUACACAGGAAAGGAUUAGACAAAGUAUUUUUGCGUUCAAAGUUGUUUAGCCUUCAGUAAAAAGUUUUUGUUGAGAUAAAAAUGACUGUGUGACGAUGAGCUCAAACUCGAGAAUGAUUUUCGGAAGUGGAAUCAAAGUCGUUGUACAGAGCAGCGAGUCCUUCGAGCCGUCCUUCUUCUACCUGAGUGACGGAAAUGGAACUAAGGCCUGUUUGGCCACAGGCUUCAGUCGACACGACGCGGUGCCUCAGUGGGCUGAGAGUACCGAGAGCCUGGCCAGGAUUUCUGAGGAUUCUCUCUACAGCCAGGUUCUCCUCCUGAAACCAGACCAGAACAGCAGCACCUGUGGGGAGCAGGACGGCCGGUCUGACCUGGUCUGUACCGACACCCUGGACAGAGACCCGGCGGUGAACACGGUCACUCUGCUGGUCCUGGUCCUCAGACUGAUCUUCAUCAAAACCGUGGUCUUCAACGUCCUGAUGACGCUGCGUCUGUGGAUUCAGUACCGUAACGUCUCGGUCUGACAACGUUGGUUUUCUUUAAACCAGAUUUCAUUUUUGAUUUUUCUUUUUCAACUAUUUUGAACCAAAUCUCCUUCGUAGCUCCUCAGCUUUUACAAAACGUCUUCUAUUUUUGAAUGUGUUGUCAUUUCAAAUGUCUUUUUACAUCAGUGAAUAAAUUUUUCUUCAAAACAA